CAAGGCCCUGCUCCUGCCUCGUUUUUUGUACUUCAGUUCCUGCUUCCAUAAAAUCCCCAGGGAAAUGUCUGCCUCUGGUAUUUUAUACCUGCCUUUCACCACACACGCUGCCAGUCCCUCUGGGACCACGGGGUCCUUGUAAAGUCUUUUCCAAAAGGUGGCAUUUGUAGGAGUCCAUCGUUCCAAGCAGAACCCACAGUCACAAACUAGUGAAGUGUCACAAGUGUCACUGCUUGGCACUGAAACCGCUCCUACUCCAGCAGAAGAGCCUCAGCACUUGUGGAAAUGGCACCACCAUGUGCUGUCAGAAGGUGGAUGAGUCCCAAGGAGGCUGCAGGGGCUCUGAGAGAGCCCGAGACAUAGCAAACCACACCAGGCUGUGGCACUUGGGGGUCACCACCAACAGCAGCAAGAGGACAAAGAAGUGCACAGUGUCCUCACAACAGCAAGGAAGGACAGCGUUUGCCAACACAUCACUGCCAACCCCAAAAACCAACUGACAAGAGCUUCUGUGGAUUAAAGAUCCUGCUGCCCAACAUCAUGGUUAAAUCUUGGCUGUUGGCAGUGACCAGCUUUUGAUGGUUUAUGAGCCAUAAUGACACCAAGGAACUGCCACAGCCAGCUCUGCCCUCUGCCAGGGGUAUUUCUCCUGUGGUUGUGAGCAGGAGAGGCUGGGAUCACUGUGGGAUGGGACAGGGAUCACUGCCCUGCAACACUGAACAGCAAAGCCACAAAGCUCAGACUACAUAAAACACCAAAAUCCAACUAAUUAAAGGUCAGGAGGCUGUUCCACUGGACACAUGGAAGGCAGAGGUCCUCUGGAAUCCUGAACAGCAGUGCUUCCACGGGACCUGGAACACUCGGCAGCUCACAGGCAAGUUUGAUUAGUUUAUUCAAAAUUAAACAUUUCAUUCUGUUCAGCCACUGCACGUGGAGCCAAACAUUGUGUCUGAUCAUUGUUAGUGCCAGGAAAAAACUCAUCCAUGAAAACUGAUCCAAAAUUAGAGACUAGCAGAUACCAAAAGCUGCAGAGAAGCAUCUUCUCAGGUGUUGCCUGCAGGAUUUGGGGUUUUGCUGAAGCUUUUUGCCAUUUUAAGCUCAAAGCUGCCCUUAUAUCUGGUUUUAUGGUUACUGGACAGUUAUUGGUGUGGAAAAGCCCAAAUGAUUUUGCUUAUUUGUAGCUGCACUGAUUUCAUGGGGCAGCAGGAGGUUCUCUUACAAGAUAAAUCCUUCCUGUUCAGUCAAAGCACCGUGGCAAGGCCCAAGUCAAUAUAAAAACAAAAUCAAGCAAAUCAGAGAAAGCUCCUUGGAAAUGCACAGUUAGGAAAAAAAAAAAAAAUCUGGACACUUCAUUUGGGAUUGUCGUUUUCUUGACAAAUGCCUUUAAAAACCAGGACAAGAUCCCAGAACAAUCUGAAGACCCGAGGACCUUGGUCAACCGAUUUCUGCCCUCCAAUACUGGCUUCAUCAUUCCAGGUCAAAUUUGCAGUUUUUACCACUACAUGUGGGUUUUUUUCCCACCAAAUCAAACAUAAGUAACAUUUGUAAAGUGCUUUGAGAUAGUGCUAGAAAAUACUAACAGUGAAAAAAGGGGCAGAACAUCUGCUAUCAGCACCCAGCUGAUUCCUACCGGUUGUUUUUUGUCCUCAGAGCAGCAUCACUAUGUUCUCCUUUGACUUCUUAUUAACCAGGAGCAAGGUGCCAGUGCUGGAGGUGGCACACAGGGAAAAGGAGGUUCUGCAAGGCAGUGAAAGGAUGUAUUGGAAAACAAAGGACACAUGAAUAUUUCUUCUGGAAAGAUUCCUGAAGCAGAGCUCAGCAGAGAAGGAUGGGCAUUUACUUCCCAGAUACAUCAGGAAAACAGUGCCACACACAGACUCACGUGCACAAGGCUAUGCAGGAGGCUCCAGACAGCACAAAUAUUUGCCAAACAAGGAGAGAGGUGGUGCUAAUUUAAAAAAAAAAAAAAUCAAGACACUUUUUUUUUGGGGGGAGGACAUAACUGCUCAUCAGAAGCUACUGCCUGAGGGCUGUCAACUACUUCAUAGUAAAGUCCUGCCCCCUCUCCAGUUGACAGGAACUUCUCUCUAGUUAGCAGCUUCACAAAAGCAAUUCUUGUAUAAAUCCAUAAAGCUUUCCCAGAUUUUUAAAAGGUUAAUUUUUACCAUUAUAAUUGCACUUUAAAAACAAGCAUCAGUCCCUACUCACUCUCCCCAAACACCUCCUCCAUUUACAAAAGUGGAAAAGAAAGGCUACAAUUAUUCACUGUCCUACAGCUACAGGAUUUGAAAGGUUUGAUUCAGGUGCCUGAAGAAAGGAUGCAAACACCCAGUUUUCAGGGCAGGACAAGAGUGCAUUUUGAAAACCCUGCAGGCUUCACAGCUUGGCUUGCAUCGGCUUCAGGUGCUUGUGGAAAGAUUCAUGAACCUGCAAGAGGACAAGACAGUGGUCACAAGGUCAAGUCUGGUCUUUGAAACAGUUUUAGCUCCUCACAUCUUGCAGUGUGUUUCUUUGCUAAGGAAAUUUGAAUCAGAGGCAGUUUGGAGAUUUAAGAACAGCCAAUAAUUUCUAUAUUUGAGUGUCUACAUGGCACAAAACGUGAGAAUAUAAAAAACAUCCUGCCCACUGCCUUUCUUCUAAGAAAAGAAAGCAAGAUACCUUAUAUCCAUACAAUUAUUUGGCAUUUUAAUUAAAAGAAAACUGGUAGAGGUCUCCUAAGGGGACUGUAAUGAAGCUCCUAAGCCCCAUUGACUUCAGAAUUACAAAACAUUGAGCAAGUUGUGGUGGGAUUUAACUCCAGCUGCAGUCUCUGGCAGCCCGUUGUAGGAGAUACAGUCUGUCCUAAUUAAAUAAAGGCACCUCCAAGACAGGAUUCAGUUUGGCUGAUAGAACAGGGACACUGACUCUUCCCAGCACAGUUUAUUUUAUUAGCUCAGCUGCAGCUCCAGUCUUAGGGCAGAUGUGCAACAACUGACACCUAAAUACUACACAGGAGCAAUUUAUUUUCAUCUCCGGUCACUGCUACUGCCUGAACACGGGAAGGUUUGCCAGAAAACAGGUAAAGCUUUCACAGCUACUGUCACUAAGCAGAAUCAACAGCAAGUGAUAAUUGCUUUUAAAUUCAAUGAGAUGAUUCAGUUGUUCCUCUAUGGAGUGUAUCAUCUCCUCCCUCAACUGAGAACCCCAAAAGCAUCCCACAGGGAUGCCCAUGAGGUACACGUGGGAGAGUAACUAUAGAAAGCAAACUGAAAGCAGGUUGCUAGUUUUGGUCCAUUACCACCAGUGACUUUUCUCCCCCCUUCAUCAAUUACCUGCUGAGAUCAUUGGAGCAUAAUUAACAACCCUAAAUGGAGUUAUUUCUCUGGGCACGUGUGAGGAAGAGGAAAAGAGGAUGAAAUAAGGUUUCCUUACCUGUGUUUUGUUCAGUGGGGAUUUCUUUGCCCACUCGAACAUGUUCUCGUAGACGUUGCCGUCGUAGCGGCCAAGCACAGAUCCCAGAUGGACAUCAUGGAAGUCAAAGGAGUCCACCAGGGCCACUGCAUUGGGGCGAAUCACAGCCAGGAGCUCCUUCACGUGCUGGUUCACUUGGGUGAUUUGGGCACUGGUCAAGAUACCCGCCUUGGGGGGGGAAAAAAGGGAUUGUAGAAGCCAAAAGAACCUUCCCUUCCCCGUGGUCAGCCUUCCCACACAAAAAUGCAGCAGUUCAUAAAACACCAGGGUUUUUUUAGUUUACUAAGUAAUUAAAUUGGCAAUUAGCCAUACUGUACAAGCAAAUGGAGAUGCCCAGCACAGCCUACUAUACCACCCAGCCAUUUAAUCUUGGAUGGGAGACUCAGUCCUUAGAGGCCCUGCGUGCAAGUUUACUUGAAGAAUGUGCAUACAUGUAUAUUAAAUUGCUCCUGGUUUCAGGGAAUUUUUUAGGAAGCAGCAAAGAGGAAAAAUGGGCAGACAAAAUGUACCACGUCUGCCUGAAGACCACUGCUGCACGAGCACAUUCUCAAACUGACAGAAUGAGGAGAAAAGCAAUGCCUGACAAUUUAAACCCAUUCACUGAAGUAAGAGUCGAGAUUUGAAGUGCAAGACCCCCCUUUGAGAGAUCCAGCUCUUGGAGCAUGUCUAACGUGCACCUCCUUUAUUAUCUCCUUGUCUUUUAACACACAACACCUGGUCACCAACUGGAAACCAUUUCAGCUAAACCUGGCACAUGCCUGGUUUCCAUUUAUCACCCAGCUCUCCAUUCUGGCAGAUCACAAGGGAAACCUGACAAGAGCCUUCCACCAGACCUGCCCUGCUAAUGGCCUUCUGGAAGUCAAGAAUUUAUACCUAAAAUAUUCAUACAUUUGGCAUUUAAAGCAUCUUUGCAAACAGUGAAUCUGGCUCUGGAGAUCUAAAGUGUUGGGGAAAGACACCAACCUGCAAGAAAUCCCCUGUGUUCUUGCUGAUGCCGAACAGGGCGUACAGGAGGCACAGGUCGGUCAGCACAGCUCGGACAGCGGCGUUAGAGACCUCAGACAGCUUUGCUGCAAACAGCUUCACCACCACGUAGUGGCAGUGUGCCUGCACAGACACAGGAAGGCCAGUCACAAAGGAUCACAAAGAGAUGAGAAGCUCUUAAGCACAUUUUCUGUAGCAGGCACAUCACUGACCUCUGAUGCCCGCACCAGGUCAACAGAAGUUCUGUUCCAGGCGUCCUCCUUGCUCUUUCUGUGGUUCAGCUCAGCUUGCAAAUUCUUUGCUGCAGCUUCUACAAGCCUGUUUUAUAAAAAGAAGUUUACACAAUAGCACCACAUUCACUAGAUGACAUACACUGAAUUCAUAUGGAUUUCAGUCAUGGCACAUGAGCUCUGAAUUAUUCUGAUGUGCUAUGACUGAAUAUAUUGCCUGGACUGAAAAGUUGUGCCUCUGAAACAUCAGUUACCCCUGCUGCAGCUACAAUACAGCUAUAGGGGGGUAAAGGACAUCUGACAGCACCCAUGUGGUGCUUCAAUACCUACUCACAUGUAGGCAUCUGCUCUACUCUUGCAUUUCCUUCAUAACAGGCUUGAAUAUCAGGAUUGUUUCUCUCCAGAGAGAUCUCUGAGCAGUCUCAGAGCAAAUACAACAUUGGUAUUUGUACACGUGAAUAUACUUUACAUGUAAAUAUUUCCCAAUGGAAAUGGGAGCAGAGUAACUAGGCUAUGAGCAGGCUUUAAGUAGCCUCUUGUAACCACAAAGCACUUAACACCGACCCCAACCCAGUGAAGUGUGUCACUUCCUGAAAGCAACACACGGAUCAAAGCUCUGCCGACCACACCUUGAAAAUCCAGCAUUAACAGGGCAGUGCAUCACCACCACCUCCCAGGACACCCAGUUUGGCUUGGCUCAGGCUGGUAACUGUGAACUCACCGGGCAGCACGUGCCUUGUAAGCCUCCACCAAGCUGACAGGGUCGUUGAUCCGCACGGUCACAGUCCUGGCAGCCACGUGCUGUGGCUGAAUGCGCUGCCUGGAGAGGUCGUUCAGGUAGGACACCAUGCCAGUAACCUGCUGCCCAGAGCUAACCUGGGUGUAGCUUUUGACAAGGAAUCUGAAAACAGAGACAGCAGAUGGCAACUCUUACAAAUUGUUUGAGCAGAGAACAGUCAGGCUCAGGCCAGAAAGAACACUGUAGGCAUAUACUUUUCUGUCAAAAACAGGGCAAGGGACAGAAACAUGACUCCAGUUUCAUGGUAGUACAGAACACUCUUCUGCUACAAACAGCACAACACUGAGGCAGGAGCACCCCCGUGCAGAGCUCCCACCACACCUGGCUGUCUGCAGCAUCAUGACCGUGUUUUCUCCCUCAUAGGUGCAGGACGGGGUGAAGGUGACGUAGAUGUCAGGAAUGCCACUGCAGCGGGAGUAGCCGUGCCCACCACAGGCCAUCCGACAUUCCUCAAUGCCAGCAUUGGCAGUCCAGGAAGUGAAGGCCUUCAGCCCUGCUGUCAGCGCGUGGAGCUGAGGGACAAAGCAAAGCCAGUUUAGAUUUAUUUCCCGUUCUUGGCUUGCACAUGUACGUGCAGCUCCCAGAAAAACACCACUCCUGCACUGUCCCACAGGGUCCUGUUUUUCUUGCAAGAACUCUUUCCUGAGCCAAACUAUUUAUAGGAAAACCUCUGUACACGGAAAGUCCACUUUUGAGUACGCCACCCUUUCUGUGCCUACGCAUUUUAUGUACAAGUCUGUCUUCAACUGCCUGUUGUCACACCAGGUUCUCAGACAGAAACCCUAACAGAAAACAAACAUUUUACAACCCUGGCCCCUCAGUAUGGUAUUGAUACCUUUGAUCAACACACUUGUUCUACACCAGCCACUUGGAAGAACAAUUCAGAAGCUACAGCACAAGCAUAAGACCAGUCUCAACUCCCAAGUGAUAUGCCAUCAUUCCUAAAAAGUCACCUUUUGAUAAAAUAUAUUCCCAGUAGCUUUCUCAC